rnacentral:rRNA from 1 species
CCUACGGGUGGCAGCAGUGAGGAAUAUUGGUCAAUGGACGAAAGUCUGAACCAGCCAAGUCGCGUGAAGGAUGACUGCCCUAGGGGUUGUAACCUUCUUUUAUGGAGAAGUAAAACGAGGCACGUAUGCCUUUUUGCAUGUACUUUAUGAAUAAGGCUCGGCUAACUCCGUGCCAGCAGCCGCGGUAAUCCGGAGGAUCCGAGCGUUAUCCGGAUUUAUUGGGUUUAAAGGGAGCGUAGAUGGGUUGUUAAGUCAGUUGUGAAAGUUUGCGGCUCAACCGUAAAAUUGCAAUUGAUACUGGCAGUCUUGAGUACAGUUGAGGUAGGCGGAAUUCGUGGUGUAGCGGUGAAAUGCUUAGAUAUCACGAAGAACCCCGAUUGCGAAGGCAGCUUACUAAACUGUGACUGACACUGAUGCUCGAAAGCGUGGGUAUCAAACAGGAUUAGAUACCCUAGUAGUC